rnacentral:rRNA from 1 species
AGAGUUUGAUUCUGGCUCAGGAUGAACGCUAGCUACAGGCUUAACACAUGCAAGUCGAGGGGCAGCAUGAAGUUUGCUUGCAAACUUUGAUGGCGACCGGCGCACGGGUGAGUAACGCGUAUCCAACCUUCCCUAUAGUAGAGGAUAGCCCGGCGAAAGUCGGAUUAAUACUCUAUGUUUUCCAAUGCAGACAUCUAAAAUGGAACAAAGGUUUACCGCUAUAGGAUGGGGAUGCGUCUGAUUAGGUAGUCGGCGGGGUAACGGCCCACCGAGCCAUCGAUCAGUAGGGGUUCUGAGAGGAAGGUCCCCCACAUUGGAACUGAGACACGGUCCAAACUCCUACGGGAGGCAGCAGUGAGGAAUAUUGGUCAAUGGGCGAGAGCCUGAACCAGCCAAAAGUAGCGUGCAGGAUGACGGCCCUAUGGGUUGUAAACUGCUUUUAUGCGGGGAUAAAGUGGGGAACGUGUUCCCUUUUGUAGGUACCGCAUGAAUAAGGACCGGCUAAUUCCGUGCCAGCCGCCGC